CUUUUGAGGUGUUAUUAUAAAUGUAUUAUUUAAAACAGAAACUUGUCAGAGUUUUACUUGUACCAACGCUGUAAUAUUUCAGGUUGCAACUUGCCAACUUGCUGAACUAUAAAUCAAGUUAAUCAACCAGCUAACCAAUUGUUAUUUUGGCAUUCAGUUCUCAAGUGAGGAUUAUGUUGCAAGUGUCUUGUGUUAUGUAGUUUUAGUAUGUUGGAUUAGAUUUUAGUGGCUACUUGUUGCAGUAGCAUGUUAAA